UCCAAAGAUUACUUAAAUUAUGGAUUCAGGAUCCGAAUCAACGUAGACUUAAUAUAAGCCUCAUGUUCAUUAAGGGAGAAUGCAUGGCGUAUUUUCUUAACUUGGAAAGAGCAGAAAGGUAAGGACGCUCAGGAGGAAUUUAUUGCUAGCAAGGGCUACCUGCACUUGCUUACUUAGCAAUAGCUGAGUGCAGCCUCUCUUCAUUCUUCAACGUCCCAGCCUCCCUUCUCUAAUACCUCUUCUUCACGCUAACAAAAUGAUCUUCAGUCCAUGCCAUCUCCGAGCCUGUCAGCUCCCCUCUGAGAGAGACUCCAGGGAAUACGGGGGAGGAGAGUACAACAGCAGAAAAUCGAACAGAACGGCUCUCAGAAAGUAGAUGCAAUUUCAAUAUUUAGGGGAUGAUGGAGGAAACUGGAGUGCCCAGAGAAAACCCACGCAGGCAUGGGGAGAACAUGCAAACUCCACACAGGCAGGGCCGGGAUUUGAACACCGGAACCAGAACUGUGAGGCCAACGCUCUAACCAGUUUUCCUCGAUACUGCGCAUCAUGUUAUUUAAAGCCGGCAGUCUCCAUGGAAGGGUGUGCUGGCACCCGUGUACACUUCGUGAGGGUUGCCUGGAAAACAUCUUGGGCACUGUGAUGACCACGCGCAUUCAUUUGCUUUUAUGCGCCUGCACACCCGCCUGGGGAUGUUAUGUAGCAUGUUUAUGUGUCCUGGCACGAGUUCACAGCAUAUGUUGGUGUAAUUUGCAUAUAUUUACUUUAGCACAAUGCACUGUCAACUGCAUUGCGACCCGCCCCUGCGAUCUGUUUCCCUCGUCUCUUUUUCAGGUUCAACGCAGGUUCUCUAAUGCUAUCACCCCAACCAUAUGGUGGGAGCAUCAGUAAAAUUGCUGCGUUUGCAGGGCCACCUGGCCUGCAUUCACAUCUCACACACACAUGCACACACAUGCACGCACACACAGGCUGUGAAUAGAUGUAGACAUUAGGUAUGGCUAGUUCAACUGAAGGACAAGAGAAACAAUGGACACCUAAGCAAGCGGGACAUUGUAUAAAGGCAGGACAAAAUAAGCACAUAUGGAACCUUCUAUCGGCUUUAAGAAGCAUGCUUCCCUUUGCUUUCCCGGCUAACCCUUCCAAAGCCAUUUAUGCGUGCCUCCGUUGGCUGAGAAAAAUAGGACAAAAUUAAACUCUGAAAUCUAGUUAAGGUGGGGCCUUCUUAUCAGCGCGCCGCUGAACUACAAAGCUAUUCUAUAUGCUUGCUUUCAAGUCAUGUAUUAAAGGUCAGUUUAAACCAGCCUUAUUAAAAGCCAGUGCAUGCGUCUUAACUGAGUGUGUAUGCAUGCACUCACGUCUGUUUUUAGGAAACAUGACUAUAGAUUUUUCCCAUCCUCCCGGCCAUUAGAAGAAGCUCAUAUAACCAGCCGGUGGGCCUGAGAGACACACACUCUAUAAAUACACACCACUUAAGGGCCUGUGGAGGGGGACUUGGUACACACAUACAGCACACAGGCAGCCGUUUCAUGACUUCCUAUUAAGCCUUCAAAUGGAUGUUUAUGCUUCUCUUAAUACGAACGAGCCUCAAAAUUGCACAUCAAAAUGGGGCAAGGUCGAAAAGGGACAACUUUACACAGUCUCCCUUAUUGCUUACUCUAUUUCAUAUUGUACUGUUUUGCUGCAUUCAUUAAC